AUGAACGCUAGCGGUAGGCUUAACACAUGCAAGUCGAGGGGCAGCACAGGUAGCAAUACUAGGUGGCGACCGGCGGACGGGUGAGUAACGCGUAUGCAACCUACCUAUAACUGGAGGAUAACCCCCGGAAACGGGGACUAAUAUUCCAUAAUGUUCAGAGAUCACAUGGUUUUUGGACUAAAGCUCCGGCGGUUAUAGAUGGGCAUGCGUGCCAUUAGCUAGUUGGUGAGGUAACGGCUCACCAAGGCUACGAUGGUUAGGGGGUCUUAAAGGAUGAUCCCCCACACUGGUACUGAGACACGGACCAGACUCCUACGGGAGGCAGCAGUGAGGAAUAUUGGUCAAUGGGCGCAAGCCUGAACCAGCCAAGCCGCGUGAAGGAUGACAGCCCUAUGGGUCGUAAACUUCUUUUGUAUGGGAAGAACCCUCCUACGUGUAGGAGACUGACUGUACUGUACGAAUAAGCAUCGGCUAACUCCGU
rnacentral:rRNA from 1 species